CCGUGAGAGCACAGGUCUUCCACAUGAAUGGCUCCUGACCUCAGCCUGCAAUGGAUCCACUGAGAUUAGUUAGAUAAAGGGGAAUCUGGCAAGUUUCUUGGUUGAACCCCCUACUUUGUUCACAGAGAGCAAAUUUUGUUGCUUUCUUGGAAGCAUUCAGAAGAACAUGGAGGGAAUUUAUUUAGGUUUUCCCUGCACGAUGAAGCAAUUGGGAUCCAUAAAAAUAAGAUGGGGAAACUGAAGUACAAGAAGUGACUUGCCUGAAGUCAUACAGCAAAGCAGGGCUAGCGCCAGGAAUUGAACUCAGGUCUCCUGUAUCCUAGUCCAGGACCCUGCCCACUAGGAUCACACCGACUCACUCUCCUUCCUUCUCCUGAGAUCUGGGCAGAGGGUCUUCCAUAGGCAGAUGUGAGCCCCUCCGUGGGCCCGAGUUGGCCAGGAUCAGGGAGAAACAGAUUUCCUCCCAGACAAGAGGGAAGGCAGCUAUCUACCUGCAUUCAAUGAAAUUAAGCAAGGUGUGAUCAAGAACAAUGAAAGCCCCAUUUACAUAUGAAUCAGCAUGAGGAUGGGAAGUCCACAGGAGAGCAGCAUGAGGUCACCCUGAGUCUGGGGACAAAACAAUGAGUUUGGAGAGAUAUAAAGAGAGAAAAGAAG